UACAGAGGUGGCAAGCGUUGUUCGGAAUUACUGGGCGUAAAGGGCGCGUAGGCGGCUCGGUAAGUAGGGGGUGAAAUCCUGCGGCUUAACCGCAGGGCUGCCUUCUAAACUGUCGAGCUCGAGCACGGUAGAGGCAGAUGGAAUUCCCGGUGUAGCGGUGGAAUGCGUAGAGAUCGGGAAGAACAUCAGUGGCGAAGGCGGUCUGCUGGGCCGUUGCUGACGCUGAGGCGCGACAGCGUGGGGAGCAAACAGG
rnacentral:rRNA from 1 species